UGGCUCAGUUGGUAGAGCAUGGUCUUUUCUACGCCAGGGUUGUGGGUUCGAUUCCCAC
rnacentral:tRNA from 1 species